AUGCUGUCCCAGUGCUGGUGGCGGGGAACAACCCGGGCCAGGGCCAUGCAGUCUGGUGGAAUACCCCAAAGCCUCAUCAGUCUGGUGCUGCUGGGCCAGAGCACCAUUCAGGAAGGGUUCAAGGAGGUGAGAAUGCUGGCUGAAGGCUGGUGUAGGCAAAGUUUCCCCCAAUGGUAUCGGUGCUGGAGUGCAGCAGGGGGACCCCGUUUCUGCCAGUGGCGAGGGGUCCCUGGGGUGCGCACAGCUAGGAGCCGGGCCCCUCGGGGGGCUGGGCUGGGGGGCUCAGCUGGCUCUCGAGCAGCGCCCGCGUCCCCUCAGCUGACAGCCUCCGCAGCCGCAGCCGUACCGAGCCAUAGGUGCCCCCGGUGCGGCGGGCGGCCCGGGCGCGGCGGCGGGCGGCGGCGGCGGCCAGCAGCAGGGCGGCGAGCAGGAGCCCGCCCAGGGCCAGCAGCGCCAGCCCGGCCACGGUGCAGCGGUCGAGGCGGGCGCGGAGCCGGGCUGCCCGAGCCUCCAGCCGCUCCAUCUGCCGCGCCGGCACGGCGGGGUCGGGCCGCGCCGCCCGCGGAACGGCCCCCGCCAGCACCACCAGCGCCGCGCCGCCCAGAGCGCAGCCCAGCGCCAGAGCCAGCCCCGGGCCCGCCGGCACCGGCCCCCCCGCGCCCGCACCGGCCCCCGCACCCGCCGCCGCCGCCUCGUCCGGGCUCCGCAGCUCCGCCGCCCGCGGGGACGCCAUGGAACCGCCGCCGGCCUGCGCGGCCGAAGCAUUCACAGCAUCCCAUGGCAGAGCGAGGACUCGCAGCCAGCACGGCUCAAGGUGACUCGGAGGUCAGGGGAAAAGCAGCCAGGCAAUUCAGGAGCUGGCUCUACAUCACUGAGAGAUCCAGCAAUUUGGGAGGACCAGAGAUCCCCAGCACAUCACAGCCUCCCUGCCUUGACACUGCCAGUCCCUGUGUACCCCAGACACAGCAUCCCAGUGCUCCCCAUGAAUGAGGGGGGGUUCUGAUCCAGCAAUCUGCUCCUGCGAGCUGCUGCCACCAGCAAGGCAGGUAGGGCUGGACUUGAGCCUUGGUGCUGGGGAGGGCUGGAGCUGCACAAUGGGCAACAGUGAGGGUGGUUCCCCUCUUGCAGGGCAUGGAGUUCUCAGAUAGGUUUGGUGCCCUGGAUGGGUAGUGGAUACCUGCCCCUGGGCUCGUGGGCUCGUGGGCUCGUUCCUCCAAGUCUCUGUGGGGAUACAUCACUCCAAGGAUGAUUUAUAGCAAAAAAUCGCUCUCCUUCCCCAAACAUCUGAGCCCCAGCCCAAAGGCAGCUGGAGGGAUGGAGCCCUGCUUACCACUAUGGCCAGAUGCAGAGCUGCACUGGGAUGAGGCUCAGCACUUUCCUGGUGAUAAUUAAGAUCUCGUUAUCUUCAGCUAACACCAGGGAGACAGCGAAAACCUCAGGUGCCUUGUGAUAUGGCAACAGCUGAUGCUCCGGGCUGUGCCUGGGAGCAACGGGAGCUUCGCUUGUUCUGCCUGAAUAUAAAGCAUGGAAAGCACGAAGCAGAGGGUGAAAAACUAUUUUUUUCCUGGCUGGUGACACCCAAGUGUGCAAAUACACUGUCUUCUCUCAGGGGUGGCUGGAGCUGACACGGAUGGCUGUGCACCUUUUGCCUUUCCCCCUCUGCACAGAGGUCUGACCCGAGGCUCUGGGUUUUUUUGUUUGUUUUUGUUUUUUGUUUUGUUUUCUUCUGCAAAUUUCCUUCACCAGGGGAGUUUUAUCAGACGUGUCUGGAGCCACGCAGGAGCUGCUCACCUGCAGAGAAAGAGAUGGGGCGGUGUCUGCAAACGGGCUCUUGGAACGUCAAGGGUGAACGGGAUUGGGAGGAGAAGGGGAGGGGAAGACAAGGAGAGGAGAGGGAGAGGUGGAUGGGGAGAGUGAGGUGGCUCUCCACUCUCAUGAACCCAAAAUGACACAUGCGACAAUGUGUUCCCGGGCACGCGAGGCUCCUGCU
rnacentral:lncRNA from 1 species